rnacentral:rRNA from 1 species
AGUUCGGAUUGGAGUCUGNAACCCGACUCCAUGAAGCUGGAUUCGCUAGUAAUCGCGCAUCAGCCACGGCGCGGUGGAAUAACGUUCCCGGGCCCUUGUACACACCGCCCGUCAAGCCAUGGAAGCCGGGAGUGCCUGAAGUGCGUGAGCGCAAGCAGCGCCCUAAGGUAAAACCGGUGACUGGGGCUAAGUCGUAACAAGGUAGC